rnacentral:rRNA from 1 species
UACGAGGGGUCCAAGCGUUGUUCGGAAUCAUUGGGCGUAAAGCGGGUGUAGGUGGCUUUGUAAGUCAGGAGUGAAAGCCCUAGGCUCAACCUAGGAAGUGCUUUUGAUACUGCAAAGCUUGAGUGUAGGAGAGGAUCGUGGAAUUCCAGGUGUAGUGGUGAAAUACGUAGAUAUCUGGAGGAACACCAGAGGCGAAGGCGGCGACCUGGACAGGUACUGACACAUCAACUAGC